CACCGUCGGACUGGUUCAGUUGCCAGCAGUAUUGUACUUCUCGCGUUCACAGGGAGGCAGGGAGGAGCAAAAUGUCUAGGGAAAGGACUAAGGAAUGUCACUGUGCAGUGACAGUGUGUCGUUAAAGGCUUGCACCAAUUUGCCACUGAAGAAGCCAAUGAUUUCAUUGACACUGGUUGGCGUUAUUAAGCUGGUUGCCAACCGCCAUUAAAGACGAAGAAGAGAAAAGACGCAGGAGAAAAGCUGAAGAGGAAAAUGGUGAGAACAAUGAUACGUAGACAAGUAUGAAAGAGGCGGUGCGACGGACUUGACAUUGAAAUUCAAAGGCAGUACCUACCAAUGUACGGCCAACUGUCACAGGGAACAUGGCUGGCGAGAAGGACGGGCGAGGUACGCCGGAGGUCAGCCACAUGCGGGUUUCGACAAGGACGAGAGAGUGGAUCUCUCACAGGGAGCACGUGCUGAGGUGCAAGAGGCGGGCCCCGGGGGGUGCUGACUUGAUGGCCAGGGAGGCAGAGUUGGGCCAGUUCUGACCGUGUCAUGCUGUGGUUGUCCUGAUGGUGCUGCAAGCCUGAAUUGCUGUCGUCCUGCGAGCUGACAUCUGAGCAGCUGUCACUGGCACUAACAAGCACACAGCGCCCCUGGCAGAUGACUGUGAUGGAGGAGGCGGCUGUGGCGGAAGAGCGUCCAGCGGAAUGGGUGUGUCGCUGAUUUGUGAAGACACGCCCCAAAUCCAUGCUGGGUGAAAGGUAUGGUCCCAAUGUCUGCCACCCCAUAAAAAAA